CAUGAGGUGGGUGCGGGGGGUGCGGCCCGCACCCGGGUGUUACCCUUCUAUAGGGUGACACCAAAACGAGCCGCACACUCACAUGCACCCCCAUCCCCUGACAUGAAAAUGCCUGGUCCACGGCUGCGUCCACACCCCCUCCUCCCAGGCCCCGCCUCCUAAAGCCCGACACUCUCACCUGUCAGUGAGAUCAGCAGGCAGCAGCCACAGACCCGUGCAGGCAGUGCACUGGCCAGCCCUCCCCUCUCCUCCAGCGUCCACUCUCUCCUCACUCCGGGUCCUGACUGAGCCUGACACACACAAGCUCCGCCCCCAGACUGUAACUACACGAGCAUGUAGUUGCUGCUGAUGUUGCUGCAUGAUGUCAGGGCGACACUGGACUGGAAAAUAUGGUGACCCGAAUGGAAUGGCCAGCUCAGCGUACAGAUCUUAACACCAUUGAGAACCUCUGGGAUGAAUUGGGGCGACGGGUACAUUUUAUACCUACUCAACCUUCUUCAGUGUCACAGUUGAUCACUAUACUUAAGGCAGAAUGGCAAAACAUAUCGCCUGCUGUUGUCCAGGAACUUGUGAACAGUUUGCCAAGAAGGGUGUCUGCAGUAAUCACUGCACGUGGUGGACCUACAAAGUACUGACGCCAAUAAAAUCUCAUUGAUCUA